AGCCCUGCAGAAUGUCCAGGCGCUGACGUCACCGGCCAUCAGCUCUGAGCGGGGGAGGGGCGCCUAACCAGGGCUCGGCUCCGCUAGGCUACGGCUCCCCCUCUGGCUGAGAAUGGCUACUGCACAGGAGACAGAGGCGGGGACCCGCCCAAAGCCCAGCCCAGCCUCAGCUGCCUGAGCUGGGAGACCUGUGGGCAGGGAGCACAAUCUGAGGACCAGGGACAGCUCCCAGGGCAGGGAAAAGGUCCAGGACUGGUUCCUCCAGACCUGUCACAGCCCCGCGGGAGGGGGGCACGUGUGGCUGGGGGGGGGGGGCUCAGGGACACUGUGAAGACAAGAAGUAAGGCAGGGGCUUGGCCAGGGCUCACACAGACAGCAAAGGGCCAAAGACGGCCUGGGAGCCUGCCAGGGUAGCUGCCUUUCAUCUCCUGGGCUCUGCUUCCACUGGGAGCCAAGCUAAAGUGGCCCAAAUUCCCUGCAAGCUACUCCAGCACAGCUGCUGAAGAAAUUUCCCUCAGAGCUAGGGAUGCUGGCAGGCUUCAGACUGGAACCUGGCCUAAGAGAGGGACCAAUCACUCCCCUGGCCUUUGGGUCAAAAGGGGAUGGACAGCCCCCAAGAUGAGCCUGAGCACAAUCCCUUGGCUUCUCCACUUGUGAAAUUGGGAUGACUCAGAACUGACUCCAUUUGGGCUCUCCUUCAACGUUUCCUGAACCUUACUAGUCUGUGAUGUUCUACCAACCAGAGGGAGAGCGCUUCUCCCCCAACAUGCAAAGAUCAUGGAUAUCUCUCACUCAACUUGUCUCUCUCUGCUUCCACAAAGACUGAAGAAGAGCAAGAAUUAAGAAGCAGGAGCCCAAUUCAAUGUAGCAUUGGGGCUCAGCGUAUAGGGAACAGCUUUCCCUGGAGGGCAAUAAACACUUCAUCACCACCCAAA